AAGAGACAGCAGUAGCCGCGGUAAUACGAAGGGUGCAAGCGUUAAUCGGAAUUACUGGGCGUAAAGCGUGCGUAGGCGGUGAGUUAAGUCUGCUGUGAAAUCCCCGGGCUCAACCUGGGAAUGGCAGUGGAUACUGGCUCGCUAGAGUGUGUCAGAGGAUGGCGGAAUUCCCGGUGUAGCGGUGAAAUGCGUAGAGAUCGGGAGGAACACCAGUGGCGAAGGCGGCCAUCUGGGACAACACUGACGCUGAGGCACGAAAGCGUGGGGAGCAAACAGGAUUAGAUACCCCUGUAGUCCCUGUCUCUUUACA
rnacentral:rRNA from 1 species